AUGGAUAAUGUGCAUAAGCUACAUGGGAUGCCAGAGUCCAUUGUGUCUGCUCGAGAUCGCGUGUUCACCAGCCGCUUCUGGCGUGAACUGGCUGCUCUCACUGGAGUUAAGCUUCGUAUGAGUUCUUCGCAGCACCCCCAAACAGAUGGAACUUCUGAACGUGUGAAUCAAUGUUUGGAAGGUUACUUGCGGUGUUUUACGCAUGCUUGUCCUGUCAAAUGGGCCCAAUGGCUAUCACUGGCAGAAUUUUGGUAUAAUACCAGUUUGCAUUCUGCUCUGGAUGGUAAAUCUCCGUUCGAGGUUCUGUAUGGACAUACGGCACGGCACUUUGGCAUUACUACAGCCGAUGCAUGUUCUGUGCCUGAACUGGAUGAAUGGCUUAAAGAGAGAGCACUGACAUUACGUUUGUUGCAGCAGCAUUUGGAGAACAGUAUAAGGUGGAAGCCGAGCUACCUCCUGCUAGUGCUGCUCUUGCUGUUCCUGUGA
rnacentral:rRNA from 1 species